rnacentral:pre_miRNA from 1 species
CUCCCUCCGUCCCAAAAUUCUUGUCUUAAAUUUGUCUAAAUAUGGAUGUAUCUAGUUACAUUUUAGUGUUAGAUACAUCCGUAUCUAAACAAAUGUAAGACAAGAAUUUUGGGACGGAGGGAAUACUAC